CUCCCAUGCGGGAAACCGCGACGGGGGGACCCCCAGUGCCGUGCCUCUGGCACGGCUUUUCCGGAGUGUAAAAAGCUCCGGGAAUAAGGGCUGGGCAAGGCCGGUGGCAGCCGCCGCGGUAAUACCGGCGGCCCGAGUGGUGGCCACUAUUAUUGGGCCUAAAGCGGCCGUAGCCGGGCCCGUAAGUCCCUGGCGAAAUCCCACGGCUCAACCGUGGGGCUCGCUGGGGAUACUGCGGGCCUUGGGACCGGGAGAGGCCGGGGGUACCCCCGGGGUAGGGGUGAAAUCCUAUAAUCCCGGGGGGACCGCCAGUGGCGAAGGCGCCCGGCUGGAACGGGUCCGACGGUGAGGGCCGAAGGCCAGGGGAGCGAACCGGAUUAGAUACCCGGGUAGUCCUGGCUGUAAAGGAUGCGGGCUAGGUG
rnacentral:rRNA from 1 species